GGAUGUGAGGGUGAUGCGGCUGCGACAUCUGUCACCCCACUGGUGGCCAGGGGUUGAUUCAGCUGAUCUGGCUGGCAAGGCAGGUGUCGCCUCCCUUCCUCACCACUCCAUGUGGGUCCCUCCCAAAGCCCUGAACUCGGUCAAAGAGGAUGACCUUCCCUGAAUAGAGACAGAUGGGUCUUUGGUCAAGAGUAGAUAAGUAGCUGUGCUCCCCUGCUAGACUCUCCAAACAAGCCCUCAAGGUUCAAUAGUAACAUUCAAUUAUAAUUUUAUAGGCUCAAAAAUAUUAGAUGUCAUUUCGUAU
rnacentral:snRNA from 1 species